GGGGAUAUAGCUCAGUUGGUAGAGUGCUUGCCUCACAUGCAUAAGGCCCUGGGUUCAAUACCCAGCACCA
rnacentral:tRNA from 1 species